GAUGAGCGCUGACAGAAUGCUUAACACAUGCAAGUCUACUUGAUUCUACUUCGGUAGUUGAUGGUGGCGGACGGGUGAGUAACGCGUAAAGAAUCUGCCCUUUAGUUUGGGAUAACCUUUGGAAACGAAGGCUAAUACCGGAUAUUAUGGAGACGUCGCAUGGCGACUCCAUGAAAGCUAUAUGCGCUAGAGGAGGACUUUGCGUCCCAUUAGUUAGUUGGUGAGGUAAUGGCUCACCAAGGCCGCGAUGGGUAGCCGGCCUGAGAGGGUGAUCGGCCACAAGGGAACUGAGACACGGUCCUUACUCCUACGGGAGGCAGCAGUGGGGAAUAUUGGACAAUGGGCCACAAGCCUUAUCCAGCAAUUCUGUGUGCACGAUGAAGGUCUUCGGAUUGUAAAGUGCUUUCAGUAGGGAAGAAAAAAAUGACGGUACCUACAGAAGAAGCGACGGCUAAAUAUGUGCCAGCCGCCGCGGUAA
rnacentral:rRNA from 1 species